rnacentral:rRNA from 1 species
UACGUAGGGUGCAAGCGUUGUUCGGAAUUAUUGGGCGUAAAGAGCUCGUAGGCGGUUUGUUGCGUCGGCUGUGAAAACCUGGGGCUCAACCCCGGGCCUGCAGCCGAUACGGGCAAACUAGAAUUCGGUAGGGGAGACUGGAAUUCCUGGUGUAGCGGUGAAAUGCGCAGAUAUCAGGAGGAACACCGGUGGCGAAGGCGGGUCUCUGGGCCGAUAUUGACGCUGAGGAGCGAAAGCGUGGGGAGCGAACAGG